rnacentral:rRNA from 1 species
GGAGGAUGCUGCUAUUAGGAUUCGAUUUAACCAUGCGAGUCACUGGUCCUCGUGGCCAGGGCGAACUGCCGAGUAACAUGUGGUUAAUCUGCCCUUGAGUCUGGAAUAAUCUCGGGAAACUGAGGAUAAUACCGGAUAUGAGAUUUGGUCUGGAACGAUAUUUCUCUUAAAGCUUCGGCGCUCAAGGAUGAGACUGCACUGGAUUAGGUUGAUGUUAGGGUAAAGUCCUACCAUGCCUAUAAUCCAUAGGGGCCGUGAGAGCGGGAGCCCCCGGACGGGUUCUGAGACACUAACCCGGGCCCUACGGGGCGCAGCAGGUGCGAAACCUCCACAAUGUACGAAAGUGCGAUGGGGGAAUCCUAAGUGCUGGCGCAAUGCGUCAGCUUUUCUCGAGUCUAAAUCGCUUGAGGAAUAAGUGGUGGGUAAGACCGCUGCCAGCCGCCGCGGUAAUAGCGGCGCCACAAGUGGCAUCCAUUUAUAUUGGGUUUAAAGCAUCCGUAGCCGGCCUGAUAAGUCUACUGUGAAAUCCUAUAGAAAACUAUAGGGCGUGCGGUAGAAACUAUUAUGGCUUGGGACCAGGAGAGGUCAGAGGUACUCCUAGGGUAGCGGUAAAAUGCUGUAAUCCUAGGGGGACCACCUGUGGCGAAGGCGUCUGACUGGAAUGGAUCCGACGGUGAGGGAUGAAAGCUAGGGGAGCGACCCGGAUUAGAUACCCGGUUAGUCCUAGCUGUAAACGAUGCUCACUUGGUAUUGGAGAUCUUUCGUGGAUUUCCAGUGCCGAAGGGAAACCGUUAAGUGAGCCACCUGGGGAGUACGGUCGCAAGGCUGAAACUUAAAGGAAUUGGCGGGGGAGCACUACAAGGGGUGACGUCUGCGGUUUAAUUGGAUAACACGCCGGGAACCUCACCAGGAGCGACAGCAGUAUGAUGGUCAGUCUGAAGGGCUUACCCGACGCGCUGAGAGGUGUUGCAUGGCCGACGUCAGCUCGUGCCGUGAGGUGUCCUGUUAAGUCAGGUAACGAGCGAGACCCAUAUCUUAUGUUGCCAGCCUUUCCUUCGGGGAGGGUGCACUCAUAAGAGAUUGCCCGUGAUAAAUGGGAUGAAAGUAUGGGCUACGUUAGGUCAGUAUGGCCCGAAUCUCCUGGGCUACACGCGGGCCCCAAUGGCAAGGACAAUGGGAUGCAACUCCGAAAGGAGAAGCAAAUCCCCUAAACCUUGUCUUAGUAUUGAUUGAGGAUUGCAACUCAUCCUCAUGACACCGGAAUCCCUAGUAGUCGAGUGUUAGCAUCGCUCGGCGAAUCUGUCCCUGCUCCUUGCACACACCGCCCAUCAAACCACCUGAAUUGGAUUUAGGUGAGGUCUUAUCCUUCGGGUAAGAUCGAACCCAGGUUCAGUAAGGGGGGUU